UAGGGAAUAUUGCACAAUGGAGGAAACUCUGAUGCAGCCAUGCCGCGUGUGUGAAGAAGGCCUUCGGGUUGUAAAGCACUUUCGGAGGGAAGAUAAUGACGGUACCCUUGGAGGAAGCCCCGGCUAACUACGUGCCAGCAGCCGCGGUAAUACGUAGGGGGCAAGCGUUAUCCGGAAUUAUUGGGCGUAAAGAGUGCGUAGGUGGUUACCUAAGCAGGGGGGUGAAAGGCAUUGGCUUAACCAAUGUUAGCCCCCUGAACUGGGCUACUUGAGUGCAGGAGAGGAAAGCGGAAUUCCUAGUGUAGCGGUGAAAUGCGUAGAUAUUAGGAGGAACACCAGUGGCGAAGGCGGCUUUCUGGACUGUUACUGACACUGAGGCACGAAAGUGUGGGGAGCAAACAGGAUUAGAUACCCUGGUAGU
rnacentral:rRNA from 1 species